rnacentral:rRNA from 1 species
GACGAACGCUGGCGGCGUGCCUAACACAUGCAAGUCGAACGGAGUGUUUAUUUAUAAACACUUAGUGGCGAACGGGUGGGUAACGCGUAGACAACCUACCCUCUAGAUGGGGACAACACCGCGAAAGUGGUGCUAAUACCGAAUGUUGUAAUGUUAUUGCAUAAUGAUAUUACUAAAGGUGGCCUCUAUAUAAAAGCUACCUCUAGAAGAUGGGUCUGCGUCUGAUUAGCUAGUUGGUGAGAUAACAGCUCACCAAGGCAAUGAUCAGUUGCCGGUCUGAGAGGAUGAACGGCAACACUGGGACUGAGACACGGCCCAGACUCCUACGGGAGGCAGCAGUGGGGAAUCUUCCGCAAUGGACGAAAGUCUGACGGAGCAACGCCGCGUGAGUGAAGAAGGUUUUCGGAUCGUAAAGCUCUGUCUUCAAGGACGAAUGUAGAUAUUGUGAAUAAUGAUAUUUAAUGACGGUACUUGAGGAGGAAGCCACGGCUAACUACGUGCCAGCAGCCGCCGUAA